UACGUAGGUGGCAAGCGUUGUCCGGAAUUAUUGGGCGUAAAGAGCUCGUAGGUGGUUUGUCGCGUCCGCUGUGAAAACCCGAGGCUCAACCUCGGGCCUGCAGUGGGUACGGGCAGACUAGAGUGCGGUAGGGGAGACUGGAAUUCCUGGUGUAGCGGUGGAAUGCGCAGAUAUCAGGAGGAACACCGAUGGCGAAGGCAGGUCUCUGGGCCGCAACUGACACUGAGGAGCGAAAGCAUGGGGAGCGAACAGG
rnacentral:rRNA from 1 species